rnacentral:rRNA from 1 species
UACGUGAGGGGCGAACGUUGUUCGGUGUCACUGGGCUUAAAGGGUGCGUAGGUGGUUACGUAAGUAACGUGUGAAAGCCCUCGGCUUACCCGGGGAAUUGCGCGUUAUACUGCGUGACUUGAGGAUUUCAGGGGAAAGGGGAACUCCGAGUGUAGCGGUGAAAUGCGCAGAUAUUCGGGGGAAGGCCGGCGGCGAAGGCGCCUUUCUGGGAAAUUCCUGACACUGAGGCACGAAAGCGUGGGGAGCAAACAGG